rnacentral:piRNA from 1 species
UAACUUGACAAGCUUGUAAUGUGUGA